AGGUGUCAUUUGUGACUCAAUAGAGAAGCCGGUCCAAUGCCGGCGCGGUCCCGCCGCUGUAGGGCAGAGCCAGGCUGCAUGAUGUCACUGUUUCCUUUAGGGAAAUGGGAAGGCGCAGCUGUGGCGACGAUGCCAAGCCAGAAGAACUGCCUGACGGA
rnacentral:ncRNA from 1 species